UGGUUUUUUCAUUCAAACUAGUUUUUCUCAAAUUGUUUUUCGAAGCUGUUUUUCAGCAAGUUGGUUCUAAAAAACAUUCUAAAUUUAACAUUCUUCAUGUCUGAGAAACUCUACAUAUGCUAGAACUGCUUUGGAGUUUGGAGUUCUUGAGCACUCUAGGGUUGUCAUUGAAGAUUCCAUCUCCCUUCAAUUGUUCAAUGAGCAACAGACAUUAACUAUCAAUCAAUUUGGUGAAAUGUUUGAAUUACACAAUGAAGGGGAGCGAAACCUUCCAAGAAGUAGAGGGGUUGUGGGUGAAUUUUACGCACCUUUCUUUUCUAACCAUCUUGCCGAAUCCGAGUAUUAUGUGAUUCUGCACAAUCUAAAUUUUAAAGCUUCCUUCAUAUCAAGUCCAUGCUUAGUAUGUACGGAGGGUGAUGGAAAACACAAUCUUGUUUAGAAGUGACAAUGGAGAAGAGGGACAUGGAAAACACAAUCUUUUUUUACAGGUGACAAUGGAGUAGAGGGACAAUCAUAUUGGAAGCACUAUGUGAGAUGAGUUAAUCAAGACGAAGUUGAAGAGCAUCAAGCCCCACCACCAUGGCCAAGAGCAUGCAUGGAAGGUUGAUCUUCCACCUUUCGUGCUAAUGAUUAUGAAAGAAUAGAAGCAGAAAUAAUGCCUCAAGGAGGAAGAAUUGAUGAAGUGUAAGAUGGUUGUGACAACCACAUCAGUCAAGGCCAUGUUCUCAUUUUAUCAAAAGCUAUGCUCUUUUUCUUGUCACCGAUUUUGAUUCCCUAGAACCUGACUUGUAACAUUGUUGAAGCUACUUCCUUCUUGUGAAGCAUGUGUGAUGAGAUUAAAAGAACUUAAUUUUCUUUUGUCCUUAUAAAUAAAAAAAACAAACAUGUGG
rnacentral:lncRNA from 1 species